rnacentral:ncRNA from 2 species
UUCUUAUCCAGAGAGGUGGAGGGACUGGCCCGACGAUACCUCGGCAACGGACUGAUUUAGUACCGUGCCAAUUCCAGCAGGCGUAUGCCUGAAAGAUAAGAA